rnacentral:rRNA from 1 species
GAUGAACGCUGGCGGCGUGCUUAAUACAUGCAAGUCGAGCGAACGGACGAGAAGCUUGCUUCUCUGAUGUUAGCGGCGGACGGGUGAGUAACACGUGGAUAACCUACCUAUAAGACUGGGAUAACUUCGGGAAACCGGAGCUAAUACCGGAUAAUAUCUUGAACCGCAUGGUUCAAAAGUGAAAGACGGUCUUGCUGUCACUUAUAGAUGGAUCCGCGCUGCUUUAGCUAGUUGGUAAGGUAACGGCUUACCAAGGCAACGAUGCGUAGCCGACCUGAGAGGGGGAUCGGCCACACUGGAACUGAGACACGGUCCAGACUCCUGCGGGAGGCAGCAGUAGGGAAUCUUCCGCAAUGGGCGAAAGCCUGACGGAGCAACGCCGCGUGAGUGAUGAAGGUCUUCGGAUCGUAAAACUCUGUUAUUAGGGAUGAACAUAUGUGUAAGGAACUGUGCACAUCUUGACGGUACCUGGUCAGAAAGCCACGGCUAACUACGUG